AUGUCAUUGUAAUGGCAUUUUCUUAACAGCUCUUUGAACCUAUCACAUGCAUCAAGGAACUGCUUCAUCGUCCAUUUGUUUAAAAAGACAGAUUUCAUUUCGGGACUU